AAGUCGGUAUUCUGAUAAGAAACUGAACUAAAUUUUAAUUUUAAAAGUUAAUAGUUAAGUUUCCGUCACUCGACUUAUAUCCGUAAGGGAAUAAGAAUGGAGG
rfam:Clostridium colicanis DSM 13634 CLCO_contig000007, whole genome shotgun sequence.